ACAUAAAAGGAACAAAUCACAUCAUAUAGAAUAACAUACAGUUCUAACAUAACUAAAACAAUAAAACUAAUUUUUAUGUGCAAUUUUUAAUUUUAAAAAAUAAAUUCUUUUUAUACAUAUUUUAAACUUCUUAAUUUAAAGUUGGGCACAUUUUACUAAUGUUAAUAAUAUGCGAUUAAAUUUAAAAUACGUUUAGUAUACAUAUU